rnacentral:rRNA from 1 species
CGGUGAGCAUGUGGUUUAAUUCGAUGCAACGCGAAGAACCUUACCUGGGCUUGACAUCCCGGGAAUCCCUUGGAAACAGGGAGUGCCUUUCGGGAACUCGGAGACAGGUGCUGCAUGGCUGUCGUCAGCUCGUGUCGUGAGAUGUUGGGUUAAGUCCCGCAACGAGCGCAACCCUUGUCUUUAAUUGCCAGCAUUCAGUUGGGCACUUUAAAGAGACUGCCGGUGUUAAGCCGGAGGAAGGUGGGGAUGACGUCAAGUCCUCAUGGCCUUUAUGCCCAGGGCUACACACGUGCUACAAUGGGUGGUACAAAGAGAUGCCAACUCGCGAGAGCGCGCCAAUCUCAGAAAGCCAUCCUCAGUUCGGAUUGGAGUCUGCAACUCGACUCCAUGAAGUUGGAAUCGCUAGUAAUCGCGGAUCAGCACGCCGCGGUGAAUACGUUCCCGGGCCUU